ensembl:lncRNA
CACACACACACAGUAGCCUAAAUCCCCGUCAGUGUGUGUCAGUGUAGCCUAAAUCCCCGUCAGUAUGUGUGUGUGUGUGUGUGUGUGAGAAAGAGAGAGAGAGAGAGAGAGAGAGAAGGCUAUCCUGUCCCACUCCGUGCUACAGUGGCAAUGACGAAUAGCAACAGGUGCCUCUGCGUUCCGUUCUGUUCGCACCUGCACAGCGCGUCACACACACUCUGCUGUAAAAACACUCCUGGGAGAAAUAUGGUGAUACAUUGCCCAUAUAGGCUAAAAGAGAUCCAGGAAGUGCUUAUAUACCUGCUGCCCGAGUCCCACGCCUGAUAAUACAUCUAUUUUCCGUUCUAUAGUCUGGAUACACUGAUCUAAGGUCAGUUUUGCACACCACAGUCUAAUGGUUAAGGUCGGGGUCGAGGGAGGGCGAUCUGAUCCUAGAUCUGCGCCUAUGAGCAACUUCUACUUGGAGCCGCAACAGGCAGGUAGUUUCAUGAUUGCGACCUGGAUAAGAAGGAAGUCUUCCUCAUCUGUUGGCUGUGAAAGAAAGAGAGAGAGGAAAAGAGAGAGAGAGACAGAGGAAAAGAGGCUGAGAGAGAGGAAGAGAGAGAGAGAGAGGAAAAGAGGCUGAGAGAGAGGAAGAGAGAGAGAGAGAGGAAAAGAGGCUGAGCGAGAGGAAGAGAGAGAGACAGAGAGAGAGUACACUAAUAAUUAGGGGUUCAACAAGGGUUCUUCUAAGAUCCUCAACAUUCUUUGAAUAACCUUAGGGUUCUUGGCACUGAAAAUUGCCCCCAAAAGGUUCUUCCAAGAACCCCAUAGGAGGUGGGGUUCAUCGUGGAACCUCCUUAGUUGUUGGAGGUUCUUGCAGGAGCCUAACUGCCCAACUGAAACAUUUGGAUUUGAAUUUGAAAGGACAGCAGGAACUUAACUGAAGAACGUAAAGAUCUCCUCAAUUUAAGAUAAGGUUUGGCCCUUGUGUGAUCUAAAUGUAUAUUGUUUUAUGAUGAUACCAUCUAUCUUUUCAUAUUUGUGCAAAUCUUUCUAAAACAAAGAAAAUGGACACAAUUCAGUGGAAAUCAAUCAACAAAGAGGUAAGAAUAUGUACUGUAGGCUAUAAGAAUAUGUACUGUAGGCUAUAAGAAUAUCUACUGUAGGCUAUAAGAAUAUCUACUGUAGGCUAUAAGAAUAUCUACUGUAGGCUAUAAGAAUAUGUACUGUAGGCCAUAAGAAUAUGUACUGUAGGCUAUAAGAAUAUGUACUGUAGGCUAUAAGAAUAUGUACUGUAGGCUAUAUGAAUAUGUUGAAGAGUAUAAGAAUAUGUGCUGUAGGCUAUAUGAAUAUGUUGAAGGCUAGAAGAAUAUGUACUGUAGGCUAUAAGAAUAUGUACUGUAGGCUAUAAGAAUAUGUACUAUAGGCUAUAAGAAUAUGUACUGUAGGCUAUAAGAAUAUGUUGAAGGCUAUACGAAUAUGUUGAAGGCUAUAAGAAUAUGUACUGUAGGCUAUAAGAAUAUGUUGAAGGCUAUAAGAAUAUGUACUGUAGGCUAUGAGAAUAUGUUGGCUAUAAGAAUAUGUACUGUAGUCUAUAAGAAUAUGUUGAAGGAUAUAGGAAUAUGUUGAAGGCUAGAAGAAUA